GCAUGCUAACAAAACUCAAGAAAAUGCCACAACAGCCAGUUUUGAAGUAGCUUAACUCAUUCCCUACACGGGAAACCUUUCUCAGACGGCGACUUCAUCACACAGUGCCUCACUAAAGUCGUGGGGACAAUAUGCCUGGAGAAAAUGCAGGAUUUCAACAAUGUUAGCAUAUCCAGAAAUACGGAUGUGCAGCAAACUGAAGACUUGUUGGCUAACUUAAAACAGAUUCAGUCAGCGCUUUCAAGAUUUUUCUGUAAUUUAGAAAGAAAUCACACUGUUUGCGGCUCCACUGUCAAUGAAUGCAGAAAAAGUGGAAGAGAGUCUGCAAUUAGAACUGAUCAAAAUGCAGUGUGAUGAUACUCUGAAGAGUCAACAUCAGCAUCUCUCCCUACCUGACUUCUACAGGAGCUUGGAAAAGGCCAAGCUCCCUCUGAUGAGACGCCAUGCCAAACGAAUGAAAUACGUCUGUGACCAACGCUGAACAAUAGAAGAUUGAGAACCAGAAUGACCGACAGCCAUCUCCAUGACGACCUUCGCAUCUCAACCACCAGACUUACUCCUGACCUGCCAGCCAUCCUUCGGACUAAAGCGCAGCAUCACUGCUCCCACUAAGCGAAACAUUCUUCCCAUUACAGGACAAUAAAGGGGAAUCAGCAUCCUAUGAACGAAGCUGACGCUGUCACUAACAGAAUGACCUGCAAACCUUUUUGUAAAAUGAAAAUCUUUUUCUCUAUACCGCUUAUCCGUCAGGGUCGCGGGAGAGCUGGAGUCGAUCCCAGUUGACUACGGGCGAGAGGCGGGGUUCACCCUGGACUGGUCGCCAGUCAA